rnacentral:rRNA from 1 species
GAUGAACGCUGGCGGCGUGCUUAACACAUGCAAGUCGAACGGUGAACCAGGAGCUUGCUCUUGGGGAUCAGUGGCGAACGGGUGAGUAACACGUGAGCAACCUGCCCCGGACUCUGGGAUAAGCGCUGGAAACGGCGUCUAAUACUGGAUACGAGCUGCGACCGCAUGGUCAGCAGCUGGAAAGAUUUUUCGGUCUGGGAUGGGCUCGCGGCCUAUCAGCUUGUUGGUGAGGUAAUGGCUCACCAAGGCGUCGACGGGUAGCCGGCCUGAGAGGGUGACCGGCCACACUGGGACUGAGACACGGCCCAGACUCCUACGGGAGGCAGCAGUGGGGAAUAUUGCACAAUGGGCGAAAGCCUGAUGCAGCAACGCCGCGUGAGGGACGACGGCCUUCGGGUUGUAAACCUCUUUUAGCAGGGAAGAAGCGAAAGUGACGGUACCUGCAGAAAAAGCGCCGGCUAACUACGUGCCAGCAGCCGCAGUAACAC